GAUUGCUCAGCCUCUGCAUGCUGCCCAUUGUACUCUGUGCAGUUUCUUAAAUGCCAACGACACGCGCUGCCAGUCCCUUGAAAAGGUGAGGGUGGAAUAGUGAGAGUGCUCUGAUUUCAAAGGUGCUCGAGGGUUUGUUGACCUUUUAGAGUUUGGAACGGAAAUACUUGGAAAGGUUACAUGAAUUUUGAGCAGAGGAGGAAACUGAGAACGCAGCGAGAUAUCACAGAUGCACUUUCAGUGCUGGUCCAUCAUUCCUCCCUAGCAGAUGAAGCACAGGAAGAUUUUUGCUUAACAGCGGGAUUUUUCGGCAAGGCUGAACAAACUGACAGCAGGGCAAGAGAAGAAUAAUAAUUGUGGAAAUUCUAGUAAGAACUAAUUAUAGUGAGCACCACCAGGCAACUCUGAUGUUGAAAGAAAUAAAGAGAAGCACCUCUGUGAUACUUCCAGAUACAGAAAAUACAGCUCAGCCUUUGUAUUAGAUCCUGAAGCAAUAUUCAGUUGUAUUACCUAAAGGGAAAUAACAUGUGCAGUGCAGUCUUAAAGACCUCUUUGAUUAUGGCUGUUUCUCCAUGGGAGUACGUAUCACAGAAAGCCAUUAGCCAGCUCCGACUCUUUCAGCUGUUUAAUUUAUAGAUUCUCCAAAAAUUGGUUUAUAGCCAAGAUGUUUUGCUGUUUAUUGUUACUUCAUGUAAGACUGUUCAUUGGUGGUGUCUGUGUUAUGUUUCAUUUUGAGUGUCGGUAUUGCUAGGGUGGAGAUACAAGCCACACAAGGCAAAAAAAACCAACCAACCAAAAAAAAAACCAACCCAAAAAGCAACAACAACAACAAAAGGGAUGAAGCUGGAGAAGGAAGGUGAGCUUGUCAAAGCCUGUAGAGAAGAAGUGAGGAUAAUUAAUCAGACAAAUGGAGAGAGAGCAGGUGUGCAGAGGGAAUAGUCUGGUGGGAGCAAAAAGCAGUGGAAUGAAAAUGAAUGUCAGAAGAGCUCAUCUUCCUCCUGACCAAGCUGACUGGGAAAUGCUAACUGUAAUGAUGUGAAAAUGAUACAGCUGAUGGAUCUCUAGUAAUAACAGCCUGAAAUAUUACCCAAGUCUACUCAGAGAGUAAGAGCAAGAAGAAACACAAAGGUACAUGGAUUGGGCCCUCUUGGGUUGGGGUACGUAUAGUACCAUGAGGUACAGCCCUCCAACCGGACUCGGUGCCGCUGAUCACAGCCCUCUGAGCUUGGACAGUCGGCCAGUUCUCCAUCUGCCUCACUGACCAUUCAUUAAUCCCACAUGGCCGAAGCUUCUUUGGAAAGAUGUUGUGAGAGAGAGUGUCAUAAGCCUUGCUGAGGUCAAGGUACACAACAUCCAUUUCUCUUCCCCUCGUCUACCCGGAUGGUGAUGACAUUGCAGAAGGCUGCCAGUUUGGCUGAGCAUGGUUUCCCCUUGGUGAAUCCAUGUUGACUACUCCUGAUAACCUUCUUCUCUUCUGUUUGCUUGGAUAUGGCAUCCAAAAUAAGCUGGUCCAUCAUUUUACAUUGACCUUUAUAUGCCAUGGUAUCAGAUAUGCUUCCAUCCAAAGGAUUUCAUCAGUUCCCCAUAAUGUGAAAGUAGAAGAACAUCUUUCCUGUAUUAAAAAUAUUAGGAAUUUAAUCCAUCAGAAUUUACUCCUUGUGAAAGAAACAACUUCUUCCAUUUGCAUCAUCCCUACUUGAGAUUUUUAAGCAUCCUUAAACAGCCAUUCUUUGUACCAGAUGACAAUCUGAACUCUGCACCCAACCUUGGCAUCUGCGGUCAUGACAUCAACAAGGAAAGUACCUCUCCUACAGACUGAGCUGCUGUUUGCAUGUCUGUAACAUCUAGACAGCAUCUUGAGGAGCUCUAGGUCAAAGGGUGAUGGCCAGAUACAAAGCAGUCUGCGGGUCCUUCACACGUGGGUUAACCAACAUGGCUCGCUCGAGCUUUCUUCAGAGGCGUGGAAUCAGGACUCCGUGCCCUUGCCAGAAGGAAGGGAAGUGGAGCAGAGGUGCAGUCCGAGGGAGAAGACUUGCGAGCCCCGAAGGGAGCAGGGCCGUGCCGGGCCGCGAGUGCCUCCCGCCCGCGACAGCACCAUGGAGAGCGCCCGGGGAGCCGCGCCGCACCGCAGAGUACCGGACCGUACAGCAAAAUGGCCGCUGCUCCGCGUCUCGCCGUGCAAGUGGGCUCACGCGGGCUGGGGCCAGCGAGCUGGUAGGAACGUGUUCCUGCCCGCACCUUCCAGCCAGCUCGGAGGGAAAUCGAUCUGCUCUCUUUCCACAAGUCAGCAGUGUGUGUAAAGGGUAUGCAGCAAGCCACUAAGUCUGCAGUUGCUAUUCUCUACGAACCAAGGUUUGGUUGUCCCCAAACAAAGCAACACCAUUAGAGCACUUAAAUAAAUACAUGCACAAAUAAAUCUGGCUCUGCGUUCAUCCGUAGAUACUUGGCUAGGUUAAAGUCAGCCUCUGAGACAGCAACCCUGAUGCACUUCCAAGAGUGAUGAAACUGCUGCUCGGGUGGUUUCACUCAAUUUCUCAUAAUCAAAUAUAUCUUUCAAGGCAAUAAAUAAGUAUAAGAAAUAUCUAACCUCAGAAAUGAAAGUCCAACAAACAAAAAGACCAAAAAGAAAAAAAAAAAAGCCACGCUCAGAAGAAGAGUUUGCAAAUAUUUCUGAACUCUCAUUUCAAAAAUGACAGGAGCUAAUUGUUGCUUUGGUCGUGCUGCUUGUAUCCUGAAUGUUAAAAGGAAUUAAUAGGAAAAGGUAUCAAUUUGUCACAACAGUGCUAAUUAAUGUUUUACAUUUUUUUUCUCUCUUUUAAUAGAUAAUUUGCUGUAAUGAGUAUAUCAGGGCUAAGUGAGAAUGGGGCUGCAAUAGUGUUUUUCUCAAAUUUCUGAAGUUAUUUAACCUACUCUCAGUAUUAACCUACUGCAGGGACCCUGCUUUAGCUGGGGAGUUGGACUCAAACUCCGACCGCUACCAUUUUGUGGUUCUGUGAUUCAUGAUGCAUGAAGAUUCAAAUGAAAAAUGUCCCUUUUUAUAAAUUGAAGAACAAGGUUUCUUUAGUAUCAGGAAAAUGUUUAUUCAGCACGAGCUGUGGUGUAUUAUAAAUAAAGGUCCAGCUGACUUAAAAA
ensembl:lncRNA